ensembl:lincRNA Gm29172 predicted gene 29172
GGGCAGAGACGUGGAGAAGGAUGAAGGGAGAGCAUUCUGGUAGAGCAAUAAGGAGGCUAAGAGGAGUUGAGCCAGGCAGCCGGUAGAGCAGGCAGAUGGAACAAGAGAGACAGAGAACAGAGCCACCGAGUGGGCACGCAGUGAGGCCUGGCAGCCAAGCCCUAUGGAUUUCCGAGAGAAGCAGAUGCUUCCACAGGAGCAGCAGCUGGUGGUCCCUGAGUGUGUGCCUCCUUGUUGACUCUAGGCCCAGUGCAGCCUCCUGGGCAGCCAGCCUCAGCCUGGAGGUGCAGUCUGGGUCUAGAGAGGCAGAUGACAAGCCUUGCCCCUCUUGGCCGGGGGGGGGGGGGGGGGCUCCAUCUCUCCUCUGCCAUCCUCUCUUAGGCCUCACCCACCUAUUCCAUCUUCAUUCC